rnacentral:rRNA from 1 species
UACGGAGGUGGCAAGCGUUGCUCGGAUUUACUGGGCGUAAAGAGCGCGCAGGCGGUCGAUCAAGUCGAGUGUGAAAGCCCCGGCUCAACUGGGGAGGGUCAUUCGAUACUGAUCGACUCGAAGGCAGGAGAGGGUAGUGGAAUUCCCGGUGUAGUGGUGAAAUGCGUAGAUAUCGGGAGACACCAGUGGCGAAGGCGACUACCUGCCUGUUCUUGACGCUGAGGCGCGAA